rnacentral:rRNA from 1 species
AGUGAACGCUGGCGGUAGGCCUAACACAUGCAAGUCGAACGGCAGCACAGUAAGAGCUUGCUCUUACGGGUGGCGAGUGGCGGACGGGUGAGGCAUACAUCGGAAUCUACUUUUUCGUGGGGGAUAACGUAGGGAAACUUCCGCUAAUACCGCAUAUGAUCUACGGGUGAAAGCAGGGGAUCUUCGGACCCUGCGCGUUUGAAUGAGCCGAUGUCGGAUUAGCUAGUUGGCGGGGUAAAGGCCCACCAAGGCGACGAUCCGUAGCUGGUCUGAGAGGAUGGUCGGCCACACUGGAACUGAGACACGGUCCAGACUCCUACGGGAGGCAGCAGUGGGGAAUAUUGGGCAAUGGGCGCAAGCCUGAUCCAGCCAUACCGCGUGGGUGAAGAAGGCCUUCGGGUUGUAAAGCCCUUUUGUUGGGAAAGAAAAGCAGCAGGAUAAUACCCCGCUGUUCUGACGGUACCCAAAGAAUAAGCACCGGCUAACUUCGUG